ensembl:misc_RNA 7SK 7SK RNA
UGAAUGUCAGGGUGAUCUGACUGCAACAUCUGUUACCCCACUGAUUACCAGCAUUGAUUCAGCUGAUCCGACUCAUCAAAUAGGUGUCACUUUCCUCCCACACCAAUCAGUGUUUUUGUAUCCCAAAGCUUCUCAGUCCAAGAGGGUAGCCUUCCCUGAACAGAGGUAAACCAGUUGAUCAGGGAUUGCACUCCUUCUUCCCAUUGGAACUUCCAAACAAAAUUUCAAAAACACUGAUAAUAUUAGUGAAAUGAAAUACUUAAUUGUGGGCCAGGUGGUGGUGCACCUGGUU